rnacentral:lncRNA from 13 species
CUGGAUUUUUCUAAAUAUUUCCUGCUGUUAAUGGCAAAACGGCUCAGAUACUUCAGAAACAAAGAACACACACUGAAACACUUUUUUUCCGUGUACUUUUCGUAAUUACAGCUGUUCCCUUCCAAUUGCAAGAGGGGAUCUAAGAGUAAAGAUUUUAAAGCUUAGAUGUUUACCCUGAGCUCCACAUGGAUUUAUUUUUACGAAAAUUACUAAGAAGUGCAAUCUGGAAAUAUGCAGAGAACUUCAAACAAGAGUCUGGAAAAAGUACGAGGUGAUGAAGGAGUUAGCACAUUUUCAGUUUGAUUCUCUUACAACCUGUGAGAGAACCCAGACAGUUGAUGGGCUCCCGGAGGAAGCUCCGGGUGGCUGCACUCCAGGGAGUUUGGCGAGGCCCCGGCCAGCACCAGAGGCCUGUGGCGAGCUGGCCUCCAGGAGAAGGUGGUGACAGCGGCAGCCGUGUUACAUGGCGCCAGAGCCCAGAGGACAAGCUCUGGCAACCGCCUGCACGGUCCCCUGUGGCCUUUUCUUCAAAAGUGAAGAUGGGGGAGUCUGGUCAACCACAGAUUUUUACCUACCCUUGUCCUCUCCAUCAUAUGAAAAACAUUCUUGCAUUUUUUCAUCUUAGCAAGGGCAUCGAAUGACAAAAGAAACUGUUCAUUCCAGAAGUCCUGAUGGCACUAUCAUUAGAUUCAGACUUAUCUAUCUACACAGACUUCCGGAGGCAAGGACAAAUGGCACCCAGCUCACUUGGUUUGUGGGGCAUUUAUUCAGAGAGGCUCCCUUAGUGCCUACUAUGCACCAAACAUUGUGCUUGCAGUGAAGCUCCAAGAAACUAAUGAGGAUAUGCUAGUUCUCCAGGAAUUCCCCUCUGUUGUGAAUGAUGGACUAUUGCAGAAGUAGCCACAGGCUGUACCAGAAAAGCAGACACUUUUUAUAGAAGGAAGGUCGGGAACACCGCUUGUGAUGUGACUACUGGUUCACUGGAUGGUGAAGGUGACUAACAACCAUUCGAGAGAGAAAGACCAGCAGAGACAAAGGCACAGAAACAUAAAAGUACAGAGGGCGAUUGAGACACACGUGUUUCUAGGAGUCCACAGGAGGAGUGGCAAAAAUGAAGCCUAGAAAUAUCUGUUGAAAACAGAUUAUAAUGGGAGAAAAAUUUUGCCAUCCAUUCAUCUGACAAAGGUUUAAUAUCCAGAAUCUACAAGUAACUUAAACAAGUUUACAAGAAAAAACAACCCCAUCAAAAAGUGGGAGAAGGAUAUCAACAGACACUUCUCAAAAGAACACAUUUAUGCAGCCAGCAAACGUAUGGGAAAAAAAGCUCAUCAUCACUGGUCAUUAGAGAAAUGCAAAUCAAAACCAGUGAGAUACCAUCUCAUGCCAGUUAGAAUGGCAAUCAUUAAACAGUCAGAAAACAACAGAUGCUGGUGAGGAUGUGGAGAAAUAGGAACACUUUUAUACUGUUGCUAGGAGUGUAAAUUACUUCAACCAUUGUGAAAGACAAUGUGGUGAUUCCUCAAGGAUCUAGAACUAGAAAUACCAUUUGACCCAGCAAUCCCAUUACUGGAUAUAUACUCGAAAGAUUAAAAAUCAUUUUACUAUAAAAACACAUGCACAUGUAUGUUUAUUGUGGCACUA